rnacentral:rRNA from 1 species
ACUCCUACGGAGGCAGCAGUGGGAAUAUUGCACAAUGGGCGCAAGCCUGAUGCAGCCAUGCCGCGUGUGUGAAGAAGGCCUUCGGGUUGUAAAGCACUUUCAGUUGUGAGGAAGGUGGUGUCGUUAAUAGCGGCAUCAUUUGACGUUAGCAACAGAAGAAGCACCGGCUAACUCCGUGCCAGCAGCCGCGGUAAUACGGAGGGGGCUAGCGUUGUUCGGAAUUACUGGGCGUAAAGCGCACGUAGGCGGACUGGAAAGUUGGGGUGAAUCCGGGCAUCGACAUCGGAACUGCCUUCAAAACUAUCAGUCUGGAGUUCGAGAGAGGUGAGUGGAAUUCCGAGUGUAGAGGUGAAAUUCGUAGAUAUUCGGAGGAACACCAGUGGCGAAGGCGGCUCACUGGCUCGAUACUGACGCUGAGGUGCGAAAGCGU